GACGAACGCUGGCGGCGUGCUCAACACAUGCAAGUCGAACGGAAAGGCCCUGCUUUUGUGGGGUGCUCGAGUGGCGAACGGGUGAGUAACACGUGAGUAACCUGCCCUUGACUUUGGGAUAACUUCAGGAAACUGGGGCUAAUACCGGAUAGGAGCUCCUGCUGCAUGGUGGGGGUUGGAAAGUUUCGGCGGUUGGGGAUGGACUCGCGGCUUAUCAGCUUGUUGGUGGGGUAGUGGCUUACCAAGGCUUUGACGGGUAGCCGGCCUGAGAGGGUGACCGGCCACAUUGGGACUGAGAUACGGCCCAGACUCCUACGGGAGGCAGCAGUGGGGAAUAUUGCACAAUGGGCGGAAGCCUGAUGCAGCAACGCCGCGUGCGGGAUGACGGCCUUCGGGUUGUAAACCGCUUUCGCCUGUGACGAAGCGUGAGUGACGGUAAUGGGUAAAGAAGCACCGGCUAACUACGUGCCAGCAGCCGCGGUGAUACGUAGGGUGCGAGCGUUGUCCGGAUUUAUUGGGCGUAAAGGGCUCGUAGGUGGUUGAUCGCGUCGGAAGUGUAAUCUUGGGGCUUAACCCUGAGCGUGCUUUCGAUACGGGUUGACUUGAGGAAGGUAGGGGAGAAUGGAAUUCCUGGUGGAGCGGUGGAAUGCGCAGAUAUCAGGAGGAACACCAGUGGCGAAGGCGGUUCUCUGGGCCUUUCCUGACGCUGAGGAGCGAAAGCGUGGGGAGCGAACAGGCUUAGAUACCCUGGUAGUCCACGCUGUAAACGGUGGGUACUAGGCGUGGGGUCCAUUCCACGGGUUCCGUGCCGUAGCUAACGCUUUAAGUACCCCGCCUGGGGAGUACGGCCGCAAGGCUAAAACUCAAAGGAAUUGACGGGGCCCCGCACAAGCGGCGGAGCAUGCGGAUUAAUUCGAUGCAACGCGUAGAACCUUACCUGGGUUUGACAUGGAUCGGGAGUGCUCAGAGAUGGGUGUGCCUCUUUUGGGGUCGGUUCACAGGUGGUGCAUGGCUGUCGUCAGCUCGUGUCGUGAGAUGUUGGGUUAAGUCCCGCAACGAGCGCAACCCUUGUUCACUGUUGCCAGCACGUUAUGGUGGGGACUCAGUGGAGACCGCCGGGGUCAACUCGGAGGAAGGUGGGGAUGACGUCAAGUCAUCAUGCCCCUUAUGUCCAGGGCUUCACGCAUGCUACAAUGGCUGGUACAGAGAGUGGCGAGCCUGUGAGGGUGAGCGAAUCUCGGAAAGCCGGUCUCAGUUCGGAUUGGGGUCUGCAACUCGACCUCAUGAAGUCGGAGUCGCUAGUAAUCGCAGAUCAGCAACGCUGCGGUGAAUACGUUCCCGGG
rnacentral:rRNA from 1 species